UCUCCGUUGGUGAACCAGCGGAGGGAUCAUUACAGAGUUGCAAAACUCCCAACCCUUUGUGAACGAACCUACUAGUUGCCUCGGCGGCGAGCCUUCGGGCGGACCGCCGAAGGAAUACAAACUCUUUGCAUUAUAGUAUCUCUGAUUACUUAUUCAAUAAGUUAAAACUUUCAACAACGGAUCUCUUGGUUCUG
rnacentral:misc_RNA from 1 species